AACGUAGGACGCAAGCGUUAUCCGGAGUUACUGGGCGUAAAGAGCGUGUAGGCGGCCAAGCAGGUCCGUUGUGAAAACUGGAGGCUUAACCUCCAGACGUCGACGGAAACCGCGUGGCUAGAGUCCGGAAGAGGAGAGUGGAAUUCCUGGUGUAGCGGUGAAAUGCGCAGAUAUCAGGAAGAACACCAAUGGCGAAGGCAGCUCUCUGGGACGGUACUGACGCUGAGACGCGAAAGCGUGGGGAGCGAACAGG
rnacentral:rRNA from 1 species